rnacentral:lncRNA from 1 species
AACUGACAUUGCCCACCACCUCCUCCAAAUCACCCAAAUCACCUCCUCCAAAUCACCCAAAUUUUCUUGUACAUGGUGACACACAUGUGCCAAACAUGUCUAUGAAAGAAAUUUUUGGAAAAAAUUAUUUUACAAUGCCCCCUUGAGGCAUAGACCGAUGUUUUCAGCAGUCAGUCUAGAGGGCAUUAUAAAUUCAAAAAAAUUCAAAAAAAUACAAAACCUUGGAAACCUAGCAUUGUUUGUGCAAGAGAUCAUGUGUGCCAAAAUUGAGGUGAUUUGGAGGUGGUCGAAAAAAUGCCCGCAUUCCGGAGGGACCAUUUGGUCUAACUUAAGCCAGUUUUUGAGAAAAGGUGAAUUUUAUAAGAGAGUUAUAAAAUAGUGACUUCAGACAUUAAUGAACUUUAUAAGAGAGUUAUCCGUCGGAACAACAAUCUUGCCUAUCUAUUAAAAAGAAGUGAAUUAGCGCCAGCAGAUUUAGUAAUGUGCCAGGAAAAAUUGGUACAAGAAGCCGUGGAUACACUUCUUGAUAGUGGGUCCCGCGGGCAACCGACGAGGGAUGGUCACAAUAAAGUAUACAAAUCACUUUCAGAUGUAAUUGAAGGUAAAGAGGGAAGGUUUCGCGAGACUCUGCUUGGGAAAUGGGUCAAUUACUCGGGGCGUUCUGUCAUUGUUGUGGGUCCUUCGCUUUCAUUACAUCAAUGUGGAUUACCUCUAGAGAUAGCAAUAAAGCUUUUUUAGCUAACUUAAGCCAGUUUUUGAAAAAAGGUGAAUUUUUCCACCACCUCCAAAUCACCCCAAUUUUCCUGUACAUGGUGACACACAUGUGCCAAACAUAUCUAUGAAAGAAAUUUUUGAAAAAAAUUAUUUUACAAUGCCCCCUUGAGGCAUAGACCGAUGUUUUCAGCAAUCAGUCUAGAGGGCAUUAUAAAUUCAAAAAAAUUCAAAAAAAUACAAAACCUUGGAAACCUAGCAUUGUUUGUGCAAGAGAUCAUGUGUGC